rnacentral:rRNA from 1 species
UACGGAGGAUGCAAGCGUUAUCCGGAAUGAUUGGGCGUAAAGCGUCCGCAGGUGGCUGUGUAAGUCUGCUGUUAAAUAGUGAGGCUCAACCUCAUAAAGGCAGUGGAAACUACACGGCUAGAGUGCGUUCGGGGCAGAGGGAAUUCCUGGUGUAGCGGUGAAAUGCGUAGAGAUCAGGAAGAACACCGGUGGCGAAAGCGCUCUGCUAGGCCGCAACUGACACUGAGGGACGAAAGCGAGGGGAGCGAAUGGG